AUGGUGUGGAUUGGGGGAGGGGGUAAGUACGACACGAAGAAGAGCGAGCGCGAACGAGCGAGCGCGAACGAGCGAACGAGAGAGCGAGCAAGCGAGCGAGAGAGAGAGGAGAGAGAGAGAGAGUAGGAUAGGGGAAAGGAGGGAAUGAGAAGGGAGGAGGGCCACUUCGUCGAUCGUCGCACUUUACGGUACGUAUGAAUGAAACGAAACGAUCUUUCGAAAGUCGCGGACGUGGAAUGCUCGUGUGUCGCGUAACGAAAUAGAGAAAUAGGGAAAUAUAAAGAGAGAGAGAGAGAGAGAGAGAGAGAGAGGGAAGAGAAAUGGAGAACGAAUGAGCGGGGUAGAAGUCGGUGUGGUGGGGGGAAAAAGAAGGAGAAAGAAAGAAAGAGAGGAACAACUACUAUUCGUAAAGCAGCGAGGUACGCCGGCCGAACGCCGACCGUCGUCGCGACGACAACGACGACGACGACGACGACGACGACGACGACGACGAGGAC